CAGCAGCCGCGGGAAUACGGAGGGCGCGAGCGUUACCCGGAUUUACUGGGCGUAAAGGGCGUGUAGGCGGCCUGGGGCGUCCCAUGUGAAAGGCCACGGCUCAACCGUGGAGGAGCGUGGGAUACGCUCAGGCUAGAGGGUGGGAGAGGGUGGCGGAAUUCCCGGAGUAGCGGUGAAAUGCGCAGAUACCGGGAGGAACGCCGAUGGCGAAGGCAGCCACCUGGUCCACUUCUGACGCUGAGGCGCGAAAGCGUGGGGAGCAAACAGGAUUAGAGACCCCGGUAGUCCCUGUCUCUUAUAC
rnacentral:rRNA from 1 species